GAGUAUAGCAUACCACAAGAGAAGGCCUGCGCACUCCCUCCAUGACGUCAGAGACCUUGCCCGACGGAGAGGGACGCCAUCGCCCG
rnacentral:lncRNA from 1 species